CAGCUUGUUGGUGAGGUAACGGCCCACCAAGGCGACGACGGGUAGCUGGUCUGAGAGGACGACCAGCCACACUGGAACUGAGAUACGGUCCAGACUCCUACGGGAGGCAGCAGUGGGGAAUAUUGCACAAUGGGCAAAAGCCUGAUGCAGCGACGCCGCGUGAGGGAUGAAGGCCUUCGGGUUGUAAACCUCUUUCGGCAGGGACGAAGCGAUCAGUGACGGUACCUGCAGAAGAAGCCCCGGCUAACUACGUGCCAGCAGCCGCGGUAAGACGUAGGGGGCGAGCGUUGUCCGGAUUCAUUGGGCGUAAAGCGCGCGUAGGCGGCUGCGCAAGUCGGGUGUGAAACCCCGGGGCUCAACCCCGGAACUGCAUCCGAUACUGCGUGGCUAGAGGUAGGUAGGGGAGAUCGGAAUUCCUGGUGUAUCGGUGAAAUGCGCAGAUAUCAGGAGGAACACCGGUGG
rnacentral:rRNA from 1 species